AGUACCGUGAGGGAAAGGUGAAAAGCACCCCGGAAGGGGAGUGAAAUAGAUCCUGAAACCGUGUGCCUACAACAAGUCAAAGCUCGUUAAUGAGUGAUGGCGUGCCUUUUGUAGAAUGAACCGGCGAGUUACGAUUGCAUGCGAGGUUAAGUCGAAGAGACGGAGCCGCAGCGAAAGCGAGUCUGAAUAGGGCGAAUGAGUAUGUAGUCGUAGACCCGAAACCAUGUGAUCUACCCAUGUCCAGGUUGAAGGUGCGGUAAAACGCACUGGAGGACCGAACCCACGUACGUUGAAAAGUGCGGGGAUGAGGUGUGGGUAGCGGAGAAAUUCCAAACGAACUUGGAGAUAGCUGGUUCUCUCCGAAAUAGCUUUAGGGCUAGCCUCGGAAUUGAGAAUGAUGGAGGUAGAGCACUGUUUGGACUAGGGGCCCAUCUCGGGUUACCGAAUUCAGAUAAACUCCGAAUGCCAUUCAUUUAUAUCCGGGAGUCAGACUGCGAGUGAUAAGAUCCGUAGUCGAAAGGGAAACAGCCCAGACCACCAGCUAAGGUCCCAAAAUAUAUGUUAAGUGGAAAAGGAUGUGGGGUUGCACAGACAACUAGGAUGUUGGCUUAGAAGCAGCCACCAUUUAAAGAGUGCGUAAUAGCUCACUAGUCGAGUGACCCUGCGCCGAAAAUGUACCGGGGCUAAACAUAUUACCGAAGCUGUGGACUACACCAUUAGGUGUAGUGGUAGGAGAGC
rnacentral:rRNA from 1 species